UCAUGCUUGGGUUGGCAUGAUUGGAGGUGAAUGAUUGUGAGGCAAAAUAUCUCUUCAAAGCUUCAUUCUUCUCUUCCUUCUCCUGCAUCAAGCUUGACCAUUCUCUUGGAAGCUCUUACGACUGAAAGCAACCUUCUCCGGCAACUCUUCGACUAGUGUAGAGUACAUCUCCAUUCCUGGCUCACCCAGCUAGGAGGAGCAAGUCCUAACAAUGUGCACAUGUUUUUUGUAGUAGCGCUACCGGACAUGCGUGUCCGUUCUCACUGCGGUCGAAGAUCCAGCUCCGGCUGUUAAUAUUCUGUUUUGUUCCGACUUCAUAGUCGAUGAUUCGGCCUCGUGCUGUUGAUUUCUGUUAUCAGUCAGGGAGAUGUACAUGAGAAGAUCAAGCUUAGGGUCAGUGGGUUAUUCUGGGGCUUCUUCUGUAGUUGUGACUUGUCAUUACCUAUUCUUCGAGGUUGUGAACCUUGUAUGCUAUUUUAUUCCGUACGAGUGAGACUUGUAUCAUGUUUGUGUAUUUUGGCAUGUAAGCUACUUGUGUACUGUCUAGGACUGUCAUAGUCCAUAUCUGUAUUAUCCCUGUUUCUGCGACCCUAUCUGUAGUUGAUAUUAUUGUUUC